GCCAGGCGCCCCAGAAACAAGCUGGCUUUGGUUGGGCUUGAACUCACGACCCUGAGAUCAAGAGUCUCAUGUUCUGCUGAACGGAGCCAGCCCAGCGCUCCAUCCCUGAAUUCAUCUCGGGAUGUCCAUUAAGAAAUCUGUCUGCGACGUCAACAGCACGAAAACCCUCCGCAGAUCAAAACCCUUCUCUAGCGUAAAGGUUACGCAAUUCACUUCGCACCUCGCGUUUGAACUCAACCUGGACUGCUCUGCUGGUCUUGGCGUGCGGCUGUGAGGGACGGAGAUGGAAGAGUUCUGGCUGGCGUGACCCGUGCAGAGAAGGGAGUUGCAGUUUUCUGACAUUAAAUAUUAACACUGGGGAUUAAUAAUGAAGGCUGACAGUUCCUUUCUCGGUAUUUCUGAGCGUGUCUCUCUCCCCAGCCUGCAAGGCCAGCAGGCCCAGGCCCUUCCCCUGCCCGAGCCAUGUGGCCGGAGGCCCCUGCUCUCUGAGGUCAGGAGAGCUUCCCUGAUGCCCCAGGUUCCAGCUGUGCUAGCCGCCAGGCCUACUGAACUCUGG